rnacentral:siRNA from 1 species
CGAAAAAGAAGAAUUUGUGC